rnacentral:rRNA from 1 species
UACGUAGGGGGCAAGCGUUGUCCGGAAUCAUUGGGCGUAAAGAGCGUGUAGGCGGUUCGGUAAGUCCGCUGUAAAAGUCCAGGGCUCAACCCUGGAAAGCCGGUGGAAACUGUCGAACUAGAGUCCGGAAGAGGCGAGUGGAAUUCCUGGUGUAGCGGUGAAAUGCGCAGAUAUCAGGAGGAACACCAAUGGCGAAGGCAGCUCGCUGGGACGGUACUGACGCUGAGGAGCGAAAGCGUGGGUAGCGAAACAGG